UAUACAUUAGGUUUGGAGCAGAGGCAGUUGCUCCAUCUUGUUCGAAAAAAGAUGGAUGGUUAUUUUGGCCAACUUGUGUUCAUGCAAUGAAAGCUACCUAUAAUAAUAACAAGCUUAGACUUAAAGGAGUUAAAGUAACUGUUUUUACAUAAUUUUGUUUAUAUUUAUUUUACUAAAUAAUUACUAAUAGAUUAAGAAGUAUGUGCAGGAUUUAAUUUCACGACUAAAGAGGACUCCAAAGAAGAAUUAAAGUUCUUGUGGAUCAAAGAUCGAGGAAUGAUUUGGUUUUAACUGGUUUGCAUCUUAUGAACGAAGUGCAUAAUAUGAUUUAAAAUGAUGAUUUAUAGUUACACCUAUUGAAAUUCUGUAUCUCAAUGAUAUCCUGGC
rnacentral:lncRNA from 1 species